GCACCGCUGAGGAGUCCCAAAACCGGACGAAACGGCCGUUCAGUGC
rnacentral:hammerhead_ribozyme from 1 species